AUUGAACGCUGGCGGCAGGCCUAACACAUGCAAGUCGAACGAGUGGCGGACGGGUGAGUAAUGUCUGGGAAACUGCCCGUUGGAGGGGGAUAAAUACUGGAAACGGUAGCUAAUACCGCAUACCAUCGGAUGUGCCCAGAGGUGAUUAGCUAGUAGGUGGGGUAACGGCUUACCUAGGCGACGAUCCAUAGCUGGUCUGAGAGGCUGACCAGCCACACGGGAACGGAGACACGGUCCAGACGACUACGUGAGGCAGCAGUGGGGAAUGUUGCACAAUGGGCGCAAGCCUGAUGCAGCCAUGCCGCGGGUAUGAAGAAGGCCUUCGGGUUGUAAAGUACGUUCAGCGAUGAGGCGUUACUCGCAGAAGAAGCACCGGCUAACUCCGUGCCAGCAGCCGCGGUAAUUC
rnacentral:rRNA from 1 species